rnacentral:rRNA from 1 species
CGGGACGGGUGAGUAAUGUCUGGGAAACGUGCCUGAUGGAGGGGGGUAACUACUGGAAACGGUAGCUAAUACCGCAUAACGUCGCAAGACCAAAGAGGGGGACCUUCGGGCCUCUUGCCAUCGGAUGUGCCCAGAUGGGAUUAGCUAGUAGGUGGGGUAACGGCUCACCUAGGCGACGAUCCCUAGCUGGUCUGAGAGGAUGCCAGCCACACUGGAACUGAGACACGGUCCAG